rnacentral:tRNA from 1 species
GCCAGCAUAGCUCAGUCGGUAGAGCACGUCACUCGUAAUGACGGGGUCACCAGUUCGACUCUGGUUGCUGGCU